UACGUAGGGAGCAAGCGUUAUCCGGAUUUACUGGGUGUAAAGGGAGCGUAGACGGCCAUUCAAGCCAGAUGUGAAAGCCCGGGGCUCAACCCCGGGACUGCAUUUGGAACUGUAUGGCUGGAGUGUCGGAGAGGCAGGCGGAAUUCCUAGUGUAGCGGUGAAAUGCGUAGAUAUUAGGAGGAACACCAGUGGCGAAGGCGGCCUGCUGGACGAUGACUGACGUUGAGGCUCGAAAGCGUGGGGAGCAAACAGG
rnacentral:rRNA from 1 species